GUGCCAGCAGCUGCGGUAAUACGGAGGAUGCAAGCGUUAAUCGGAAUUACUGGGCGUAGAGCGCACGCAGGUGGUCUGUCAAGUCGGAUGUGAAAUCCCCGGGCUCAACCCGGGAACUGCAUUCGAAACUGGCAGGCUUGAGUCUCGUAGAGGGGGGGUAGAAUUCCAGGUGUAGCGGUGAAAUGCGUAGAGAUCUGGAGGAAUACCGGUGGCGAAGGCGGCCCCCUGGACGAAGACUGACGCUCAGGUGCGAAAGCGUGGGGAGCAAACAGGAUUAGAUACCCUGGUAGUCCGCGCUGUAAACGAUGUCGACUUGGAGGUUGUGCCCUUGAGGCGUGGCUUCCGGAGCUAACGCGUUAAGUCGACCGCCUGGGGAGUACGGCCGCAAGGUUAAAACUCAAAUGAAUUGACGGGGCCCGCACAAGCGGUGGAGCAUGUGGUUUAAUUCGAUGCAACGCGAAGAACCUUACUGGUCUUGACAUCCACAGAAGUUUCAGAGAUGAGAACGUGCCUUCGGAACUGUGAGACG
rnacentral:rRNA from 1 species